rnacentral:rRNA from 1 species
GACGAACGCUGGCGGCGUGCUUAACACAUGCAAGUGGAGCGACGAACCGGGGCUUGCCCCGGGGCAGAGCCGCGAACGGGUGAGUAACACGUGGGUAACCUGCCUCAAUGAUUGGGACAACCCGGGGAAACUCGGGCUAAUACCAAAUGUGUUCACUCCUUCCAAGGGGAGUGAGGAAAGGAAGCUUCGGCCUCCGCAUUGAGAUGGGCCCGCGGCCCAUUAGCUUGUUGGUGAGGUAACGGCUCACCAAGGCUUCGAUGGGUAGCUGGUCUGAGAGGACGAUCAACCACACUGGGACUGAGACACGGCCCAGACUCCUACGGAGGCAGCAGUGGGAAUCUUGCACAAUGCGCGAAAGCGUGAUGCAGCAACGCCGCGUGGGGGAA